AUUACGUAAUUGUCACGUUUAGACCGGGUUGAGGCGGUUGAGACAGACAGAACGAACGAACGAACGAACGACCAGCGACAUUUGAAUCUCAGCAAGGCGGACAUAUUUAGCAAAUUGUGGUAAACCAGUAAAUUUUCUGGACAUAAUGAACAAAACUCAGAGGAAAGGAAAGGUUCUCUUCAAAACUUCACAUAUGGAAGCCACUACCCUAUGAACUAAUCCAAAGAAAUCAGCAAAGGCACUUGAACUGAUGGAUUCCACCACUGGCACUGAACCAAAGCAAACACCCAAGAGAGAUUCAAGAUCUACUCUGACAAAACAGGCAGCCAUACAUAUGAUCGAUGCUUUGAAGGAGGACCUGAAGAAAAAAAAUUUACCAGAUCCAAACACAGCCCCACCACUGUAUUACUCUGAUUCGGAUUCAACAGUCAUUGAGGCAGAGUCAUCUCCCAUGCAGGAACCACAAAGAAAUCUUGAGACUGAAAGCGAGGAUGAUGGGCCAUCUCAGUGCCCCCCAAAAAAAAUGAAGAUAGAUGAAGAAAUUGUCAGUGCAUUAAAAGAGUUGCCAAACAUAGUAAAAGAAUUAAAGGAUGUAGUGGCGGCCUUAAAGGUGGCUCCAGAAUCUUCUGUUCAAAAUACAGAAGAGGCAUCACCACCUGGAGAAACGAUCUCCCUGGGUGCAGGAAUAACAAUUCCUAAAAGAACAUUUGAUUUACCCAGGACCUAGCAGUCAUUAUUUUUGGACGUGAGGCUCUGGCCACAUCAAGCCUUACGGGAAUGAAUACCAACAAAACACCACUGGACCCCAUCAAAGUAAAUGCAAUCAUUGAUGCUGUGAUGGCUCGUUUUCAAGGAACCACUCCAUCCCAAGUCAGGGCUCUGCUUAGGCAGAAAUGUAACAAUGAGAGUUAUGCUAAAAAAAAUCAGGAAAGUGGUGUGGUUAAAGGUAAUUAGUAUCAAUUGAUAUAGACAAUGUAGACUGAAGAGACCUACCAAAGGGUGUAAUUCGUUGAAAGGUCAUGCAGUUCUUUAUUUGAUGUUUGUAAUUGUAGUUGUUCUGUCUGUUGUUAAAUUGUACAAUUAAUAAUGUAAGUUUACUUUUUUGAGAUUACAUUUUAGUUUUUUACAUAUUUAAUUGUGUUGUAAAUUUACUAUCUUUAAAUUUAAGCUUUUGUUUAUCUAUUUGUUUUUUAAUUUAUUUUAUUUUAAUUUUUCACAAAAGUUAAUUCAAAAUUUUUAAUUGUGCAAUAAAAUUGUUGGAUUCAUACUUUUAACUACUACACUGUGUUUUAUUGUCAGUGGAAGCAUUGUGGUUUUUGUUUGCAGUGCAUAAAUGGAAAUUAAUGCAUAUUUUAAUUUACUAUAAUUUGUUUUUAGUGUUUUUUUAUAAAUAUAUCUUAACCGAAUUUUUUACCUAGAAUUUAAGAAAGUAGUAAUGUAUUAAAUGUAUUAAAGCCCCAAUUUAUAUUGUAA